UUCCUGAUGUUGAGUGGGGAUCUCCUUUCUUGGAACUUGAAGCCAUUGGUUCGGGUCCUACCCUCCAGAGCAGAAGAAAAGAAGUUUGCUCCACCUUCCACAUGACAACCAUGAAGAUGGCUAUCAUAUUUCCUCUCAAUCUCCUGUUAUCCAGGCUAAACAUACCCAGUUCCAUCAACUGUCCUCCUAAAGCUUGGUUGUGUGGCGAGUUCCCGUCCUCCCCAGUGGAAAUAAUGAC